rnacentral:rRNA from 1 species
CAAUAGCGUAUAUUAAAGUUGUUGCAGUUAAAAGCUCGUAGUUGGACUUCUGAUGUGAAAGAUCGGUCCACCGCAAGGUGAGCACUGAUUCUUCGCGUCUUCCUCUCGUAGUUGUUUCGCGCACUUAGUUGGGUGCGAGAUGAAUAUGGGACCUUUACUUUGAAAAAUUAGAGUGUUCAAAGCAGGCAAUCGCUUGAAUACAUUAGCAUGGAAUAAUAGAAUAGGACUUUGGUUCUAUUUUGUUGGUUUCUAGGACCGAGGUAAUGAUUAAUAGGGACAGUUGGGGCGAUUAUAUUUAAUUAGUCAGAGGUGAAAUUACUUUGGUAUUUAAUUGAAAGAACUAACUAACUGCGAAAGACAUUUGUCCAAGGAAUGUUUUCUAUUAAUACAAGAACGGAAAGUUAAGGGGAGUCGAAGACGAUCAGAUACCAU